rnacentral:tmRNA from 1 species
GGGGCUUUAACGGUUUCGACAGGUUGGCGAAAGCUACUCUGUGAUUCAGGUCGAGAGCGAGUUACCUCUCGGAAAUCAAUGACUCGAAAAAAAAGUAAAUGCGAACAAUAUCGUAAAAUUUGCUCGUCGGGAAGCUCUAGUAGCUGCCUAAGAAACCUCUAAUAGGUUCGAGCGUCUUUAAUUUGACUCCGUUAAGGAUUAAAGACCUAACCCCCAACGGAUGCACUAUUCAAGCGUUCUCUGGUUGGCUUGAUGGUUAAGAUUAAAUCAGAGCAUCCUACGUUCGGGAUAAUGAACGAUUCCCGCCUUGAGGGUCAGAAAGGCUAAACCUGUGAACGAGUGGAGAGUUAAUAUCCAAUUUGGACAUGGGUUCGACUCCCAUAAGCUCCAUUU